rnacentral:tRNA from 1 species
AAAAAGGUAAGCUAAUUAAGCUACUGGGUUCAUACCCCAUUUAUGAAGAUUAUACUUCUUCCCUUCUUA